CCUACGGGAAGCAGCAGUGGGGAAUAUUGGACAAUGGGCGAAAGCCUGAUCCAGCCAUGCCGCGUGUGUGAAGAAGGCCUUCGGGUUGUAAAGCACUUUCAGUGGGGAAGAAAGCCUUGGGGCUAAUACCCUCGAGGAAGGACAUCACCCACAGAAGAAGCACCGGCUAACUCCGUGCCAGCAGCCGCGGUAAUACGGAGGGUGCGAGCGUUAAUCGGAAUUACUGGGCGUAAAGCGCGCGUAGGCGGUCUGAUAAGCCGGUUGUGAAAGCCCCGGGCUCAACCUGGGAACGGCAUCCGGAACUGUCAGGCUAGAGUGCAGGAGAGGAAGGUAGAAUUCCCGGUGUAGCGGUGAAAUGCGUAGAGAUCGGGAGGAAUACCAGUGGCGAAGGCGGCCUUCUGGACUGACACUGACGCUGAGGUGCGAAAGCGUGGGUAGCAAACAGGAUUAGAUACCCGGGUAGUC
rnacentral:rRNA from 1 species